rnacentral:rRNA from 1 species
AUAAGCCCUCCGUGAAAUCUCCAGGCUUAACCUGGAAAGUGCAGAGGGGACUGUUCAGCUAGAGGAUGGGAGAGGAGCGCGGAAUUCCCGGUGUAGCGGUGAAAUGCGUAGAGAUCGGGAGGAAGGCCGGUGGCGAAGGCGGCGCUCUGGAACAUUUCUGACGCUGAGGCUCGAAAGCGUGGGGAGCAAACAGGAUUAGAUACCCUGGUAGUCCACGCCGUAAACGAUGAGUGCUAAGUGUUAGAGGGUUUCCGCCCUUUAGUGCUG